rnacentral:misc_RNA from 1 species
AAGUCGUAACAAGGUUUCCGUAGGUGAACCUGCGGAAGGAUCAUUACAUUUAGUAGCCUAGCUGCUAUCAGUGGGGUUCAGUUGCCUGCAUAGCCUUAAUCGCUUGAUGAGGCCAGCAGACCCCCUGUUUGUAACCCUUGUUUUUGCGUACCAAAGUUUCCUCGGCGGGCUUUGCUCGCCGGAUGGACAAUACCUAGUUAACCCUUUUAAUAUUCAAUCAGCGUCUGAAAAACUUGAAUAAUUACAA